CUCCGUAAAGUGUGUCGGCAAAAGAGUGUUUAAUUCAAAUAUGUGAAAAUAAUUCGUUUUGGAGUGUGUUACAAGUUUAUAAAGUUAGUUAUUAAGUGUUGGCAUAUGUGUUUAAUAUCGCGAUACCUUCAAAGCUGUUUAUUUCAUGUGCAUAUCGUGUUUAAAUUUGGUCUAUUUUUUUUCCACGUAAAAGCGCGCGCGUUUGGUGGCCGAAGUGUCCCGAUUGGAUCGAAGUUAUUUGUGCUCAAAUGUAUGUAUGUGUGUAUGCAUGCAUGUCUGUGAAUGUGCUUAUGUGAGUGUGUGUAAAACAGCUGGCCCCAGCAAAAUGUUAAGGACAACAACAACAAAGCAAAAAGCGCAACAAAGGAGAUAACGAAAUGCUGGGACACAAAACUAAACACGCACCAGGCAAUUUAGGCGCGAGCGUGCCAAUCGCGUCGCGGCCGACGCAACGCGUGGAUUCGCAGUCGCAGCUUAACAAAUUGCUGACCGCACGAUUCAGUGGCAAAACGAAGACUGAAUUUGGCCAGUUGGCGCACUCGUUAUUUUAUACGCUCGCAGCCGAUGCACACAAAAACACAGACUCGAACCCAAUUUGAGGCUGUGUUGAGCAACAGAACUAAACGACGGUUAACAGCGUACACAGGACUAAAGCGUGGGAUGUAUUUAAAUAAAGGUUCGUCGUCCGCCUGCUGAUAGAUGACGAUAAAGUAAUCUUGCGUGUGAAUUAACAGGCCACACACAGAACAGAGCUUGGCUUUUUUACACUAAAAGCCUGGCCAAACAGUCGUAAAAACCCAACCCGGAAGAAGACGAGCAUAAAACUUGGCCGCCUCAAUCGUAGUGUCACUCGCAUCCGGUUUAUAAUAAUGUCAUACGCAAGGAGUCCUUUAAUAAGGACAUUCAAUUGACAGCGGCUGCUGUUGGCGGCAAUUGGGUAAGCAUAAAUAACCACUUAAUAGAAUCAUAUAGAGAUAACCAGAAGCAGACACACAAAAGGCAACUGGGAAAUUGAUAUCUAUCAAAUUUCAAUGGAAACAAAAGAAAACAAGCAAGUCCUUUUAGCCUGGCAAUGCUUAAACACCCUUUCAUAUUUUUGGGAAAUGUAAAGAACAUAAAAUUAGCCAAGAUGAAAAAAAUGCAUAUUUAAAGAUAUUUACAUACAUACUUAAAUGGGCCGAGGACUACUCUAACUUCCAUUCUCUGCAGAACACAACAAAUUUAAUAAAAAAUUACUUACUUUUACUUUGGAAAUUA